rnacentral:rRNA from 1 species
AGUGAACGCUGGCGGUAGGCCUAACACAUGCAAGUCGAACGGCAGCACAGUAAGAGCUUGCUCUUACGGGUGGCGAGUGGCGGACGGGUGAGGAAUACAUCGGAAUCUACUUUUUCGUGGGGGAUAACGUAGGGAAACUUACGCUAAUACCGCAUACGACCUACGGGUGAAAGCAGGGGAUCUUCGGACCUUGCGCAAUUGAAUGAGCCGAUGUCGGAUUAGCUAGUUGGCGGGGUAAAGGCCCACCAAGGCGACGAUCCGUAGCUGGUCUGAGAGGAUGAUCAGCCACACUGGAACUGAGACACGGUCCAGACUCCUACGGGAGGCAGCAGUGGGGAAUAUUGGACAAUGGGCGCAAGCCUGAUCCAGCCAUACCGCGUGGGUGAAGAAGGCCUUCGGGUUGUAGAGCCCUUUUGUUGGGAAAGAAAAGCAGCAGGUUAAUACCCCGCUGUUCUGACGGUACCCAAAGAAUAAGCACCGGCUAACUUCGUG